rnacentral:rRNA from 1 species
GAUUAAGGUCUCCGUAGGUGAACCAGCGGAGGGAUCAUUACCGAGUUUACAACUCCCAAACCCCUGUGAACAUACCUUUAUGUUGCCUCGGCGGAUCAGCCCGCGCCCCGUAAAACGGGACGGCCCGCCGCAGGAACCACAAAACUCUGAUUUUAGUGUAACUUCUGAGUCUAAAAAACAAAUAAAUCAAAACUUUCAACAACGGAUCUCUUGGUUCUGGCAUCGAUGAAGAACGCAGCAAAAUGCGAUAAGUAAUGUGAAUUGCAGAAUUCAGUGAAUCAUCGAAUCUUUGAACGCACAUUGCGCCCGCCAGUAUUCUGGCGGGCAUGCCUGUUCGAGCGUCAUUCCAACCCUCAAGCCCCCGGGUUUGGUGUUGGGGAUCGGGCUGUACUCCAGCCCGGCCCCGAAAUCUAGUGGCGGUCUCGCUGCAGCCUCCAUUGCGUAGUAGCUAACACCUCGCAACUGGAACGCGGCGCGGCCAAGCCGUUAAACCCCCAACUUCUGAAUGUUGACCUCGGAUCAGGUAGGGAUACAAUC